UACGGAGGAGGCAAGCGUUAAUCGGAAUUACUGGGCGUAAAGCGUGCGCAGGCGGUUUUGUAAGUCUGUCGUGAAAGCCCCGGGCUCAACCUGGGAAUUGCGAUGGAGACUGCAAGGCUUGAAUCUGGCAGAGGGGGGUAGAAUUCCACGUGUAGCAGUGAAAUGCGUAGAGAUGUGGAGGAACACCGAUGGCGAAAGGCAGCCCCCUGGGUCAAGAUUGACGCUCAUGCACGAAAGCGUGGGGAGCAAA
rnacentral:rRNA from 1 species